rnacentral:rRNA from 1 species
UACGAGUGCCUCAAGCGUUAUCCGGAAUCAUUGGGCGUAAAGGUUGUGUAGGUGGUCAUAUUAGUCUUCUGUUAAAUUCUUCGGCUUAACCGGGGGCAUGCAGGGGAAACGGUAUGACUAGAGGAUGCGAGGGGUCUGCGGAACUCAUAGUGUAGCGGUAAAAUGCGUUGAUAUUAUGGGGAACACCAAAAGCGAAGGCAGCAGACUGGAGCACUCCUGACACUGAAACAAGAAAGCGUGGGUCGCGAAUGGG